rnacentral:rRNA from 1 species
AUUGAACGCUGGCGGCAGGCUUAACACAUGCAAGUCGAGCGGGGGAAGGUAGCUUGCUACCGGACCUAGCGGCGGACGGGUGAGUAAUGCUUAGGAAUCUGCCUAUUAGUGGGGGACAACAUCUCGAAAGGGAUGCUAAUACCGCAUACGUCCUACGGGAGAAAGCAGGGGAUCUUCGGACCCUGCGCUAAUAGAUGAGCCUAAGUCGGAUUAGCUAGUUGGUGGGGUAAAGGCCUACCAAGGCGACGAUCUGUAGCGGGUCUGAGGGGAUGAUCCGCCGCACGGGGACUGAGACACGGCCCAGACUCCUACGGGAGGCAGCAGUGGGGAAUAUUGGACAAUGGGGGGAACCCUGAUCCAGCCAUGCCGCGUGUGUGAAGAAGGCCUUAUGGUUGUAAAGCACUUUAAGCGAGGAGGAGGCUACUCUAGUUAAUACCUAGGGAUAGUGGACGUUACUCGCAGAAUAAGCACCGGCUAACUCUGUGCCAGCCGCCGCCGUAA